rnacentral:rRNA from 1 species
UACGUAGGUGGCAAGCGUUAUCCGGAUUUACUGGGUGUAAAGGGCGUGUAGGCGGGACUGCAAGUCAGAUGUGAAAUUCCGGGGCCCAACCCCGGAACUGCAUUGGAAACUGUAUUUCUAGAGUGUCGGAGAGGCAAGUGGAAUUCCUGGUGUAGCGGUGAAAUGCGUAGAUAUCAGGAGGAACACCAGUGGCGAAGGCGGCCGCCUGGCCUGUUGCUGACGCUGAGGCACGAAAGCGUGGGGAGCAAAUAGG